UACGUAGGGUGCAAGCGUUGUCCGGAAUUAUUGGGCGUAAAGAGCUCGUAGGCGGUCUGUCGCGUCUGCUGUGAAAACCUAAGGCUCAACCUUGGGCUUGCAGUGGGUACGGGCAGACUAGAGUGCGGUAGGGGUGACUGGAAUUCCUGGUGUAGCGGUGGAAUGCGCAGAUAUCAGGAGGAACACCGAUGGCGAAGGCAGGUCACUGGGCCGCAACUGACGCUGGAGGAGCGAAAGCAUGGGGAGCGAACAGG
rnacentral:rRNA from 1 species